CCUACGGGAGGCAGCAGUGAGGAAUAUUGGUCAAUGGGCGGGAGCCUGACCCAGCAAAGCCGCGUGAAGGAAGAAUGCCCUCGGGUUGGAAACUUCUUUUGUCAGGGACGAAACAAAGGACGGUACCUGUCGAAUAAGCUACGGCUAACUACGUGCUAGCAGCAGCGGUAAUACGUAGGCGGCAAGCGUUAUCCGGAUUUACUGGUUGUAAAGGGCGUGUAGGCGGGAGAGCAAGUCAGAUGUGAAAUUCCAGGGCUCAACCCUGGAACUGCAUUUGAAACUGUUUUUCUUGAGUGAUGGAGAGGCAGGCGGAAUUCGGGGUGUAGCGGUGAAAUGCUUAGAUAUACGGAGGAACACCAGUUGCGAAGGCGGCCUGCUGGACAUUAACUGACGCUGAGGCGCGAAAGCGUGGGGAGCAAACAGGAUUAGAUACCCCAGUAGUC
rnacentral:rRNA from 1 species